CGACGUCACAGAGGCGAGCCUUAGGCGACUUCACGCGGAGGUGUGUUGCCUAGGAGCUGUGUUGUCUUCUCCCCAGAGCAGAGUCCGGUAACCUCCACCUUCCGCUGCGUCCUGUGUGCUGCUGGCUGGAGAAGGAGACAGGGUCUUGCUCUUUCACUCAGGCUGCAGUGCAGUGGUGUGAUCUCUCAGCUGACCAAAACCUCCACUUCCAAGGUUGAAUUUAUCCUCUUGCCUCAGCUGCCCUAGUAGCUAGGACUACAGAGAUGCAGUUUUGCCAUGUUGGCCAGCCUGGUCUCCAAUUCCUGACCUCAAGCGAUUCACCUGCCUUGGCCUCCCAAGUGCUAGGAUUACAGAGACAUGAACUUAUGAAUUCAAUAACUGAAGAUUUACAGCUUGAUAAACCAGCUUCAGGAGCAAAGGAAGAUGAUAUACCAGAAUCACCAAAUUAAGAAAGACAGUGGAUCAGCUUUUCUGCAAAAAAAAAUUGGAUCUUUGAAGAUCUUUUUUAGGACCGAAACUUUGAAGCACGUUCAAAUGACUUUUAUGUGGAAGGACUACCGGAAAACAUUCCUUUCAGAAGUCCCUUGUGAUAUGGAAUUCCAAGGCUGGAAAACAUCAGUCAAGUGGGCAACUGAAUUAAAUUUUUAUUAAAAGAGAUGGGAUCAUGCUGUGUCGCCCUGGAUGGUCUUUAACUCCUGGCCUCGAGUGGUCCUCCUGCCUCAGCCUCCCAAAGUUCUGGGAUUAUAUGCAGAGUCUUGCUCUGUCACCCUGGCUGGAGUAUAGUGGUAUGAUCCUGGCUCACUGCAACCUCUGCUUCCUGGGUUCACGCAAUUCUCCUUCCUCAGCCUCCUGAGUAGCUGCGAUUACAGACAUGAACUUAUUAAUUCUACACCUGAAGAUUUACAGUUUGAUAAACCAGAUUCAGGAGGCUGAAGUACAGUGGUGUGAUCUUGGCUUACAGCAACCUCCACCUCCUGGGUUCCAACAAUUCUCCUGCCUCAGCCUCCCGAGUAGCUGGGAUAACAGAAUCUUGCUCUGUCACCCAGGGUAGAGGGCAGUGGCAUGAUCUCAGCUCACUGCAAUGUCCACCUCUCAGGUCCAAGUGAUCCUCCUGCCUCAGUGUCCCUGGUAGUUGGGACUACAGGUUAUUGAAAAACAAAGUUUAAUCUUUGAAGAUCGUUUUUAAGACCAAAAUUUGAAGGACAUGCGAAUGAUCUGUGUGUGGAAGAACUACUGGAAAACAUUCCUUUCAGAAAUCCCUCAUGAUAGGGAAUCCAAGACUGGAAAACAUCAUUCAAGUGGGCAAUCAAAUUAAAUUUGUUAUUAAGAGCCACCCUGAGUGAAUCCCAGCACUGCCCUGCAUAAAAUACAUUCUUAAUUAUAUUUCCUAUUUGAUGUCUGACUCCCCCUCCUCCUUCACUAAAAUAUGGAAAUGUGUCAUGUACCAGCUCUUCAUCCAAUGACUGCUCCUCAGUUCCAAAUUCACCCUUCAUUGCCUGCUCUGCAAACAUAGAGGGUUAUUAUUGAAAAUCAAACACAAACUUAAAUGUGUGAAUUGCUGAAUUAAAAUGACAGUUGAAUUCACUGCAUCACCAAGGUUCUCAUGAGAACAUGGGGGCACUAACAGACAGUCUCCCUCUGUUGCCCAGGCUAGAGCACAGUGGUGUGAUCUUGGCUCACUGCAGUCUCAACCUCCCAGGCUUAAGCUACCUUCCUGCCUCAGCCUCUGGGAUAGCUGAGGUAUGACCACAGCCUCAGGCAAGGUGUCUCACCCCAUUCUCUAUGAUGCGACAAGAAGCCCCUUGGGAGCAUUUUAGUCCCACUCUGUACUUCUGUCAUUGUGAUCCUCACAGUCUGGUAAGUGUUUGCAUAUGAUUGCUAUAUUAGUCUGUUUUGCAUUGUUAUAAGCAUAUAUGUGAGACUCAGUACUUUAUAAAUAAAAAAGGUUGUCCAGGCACAGCAGCUCAUGCCUGUAAUCCCAGCACUUUGGGAAGCCAAGGCAGGUGGAUCACAAGGUCAAGGGAUUGAGACCAUCCUGGCCAACAUGGUGAAACCCCAUCUCUACUAAAAUAUAAAAAUUAAGCUGAGCUUCCUGGUGCAUGCCUGUAAUCCCAGCUACUCAGGAGGCUAAGGCAGGAGAAUUACUUGAACCAAGGAGUUGGAGGUUGCAGUGAGCCUACAUCGUGCCACUGCACUCCAGCCUGGAUGAUAGAGUGAGACUCCAUCUCAAAAUAAUAAUCAUCAUAACAAACUUAGCUAGGUAUGGUGGUACAUGCUUGUAAUCCCAACUACUUGGGAGGCAAGAUCACUUGAGCCCAGGAGAUGGAAUCUGCAGUGAGUCAUAAUCACCUCACUUUACUUCAAGCCUGUGUGACAGAGGUGAACUCUGUAUCUAAAAAAGAAAAUAGUCACUGGGGAAAAAAGACUAAAGCAAAGUUGUCAGGAGAGUCCUGUGAAUGUGGGUCAUGUCAGCAGAGUGUAGGGACUACUGGGCAGGAGGGACUUGAAGAAUGGGGUGGUGGAGACGAGGUUAUUUAUCCUAAACAGUUUGCCCUGUAGCAUGUAGAUCAAAUAUCUCGUGUUGGCUGCUGGUGACUGAACUGGGCUUCCAGUUUUCGUGUUUGGUUUGACCAUCACAGUAUUGAAAAACCUUUGAAGUGAAUACCUUGCAAUUUGCUACAGUUCCUCCUGGUCUCUGGCCUUACUCCAGCCUCCUUUCUUCAUGUAGGUUGCCUGAUCUGCUGAGACCUGUGUUUGCUCUUCCUGCAGAUGGGUGGGUAGGAGGCAAUUUAAGGAGGAACAUUUAAUAUAUGAUAUUUUAUAUAUGUAUAUAUAUGUAUGUGUGUGUGUGUGUGAGCAUAUAUAUACAUAUAUAAAGAUAAAUAGACUGGGUGUGGUGGCUAAAGCCUAUAAUUCCAGCACUUUGGGGGGACCAAGGCAGGAGGAUUAGUUUGAUCUAGGAGUUCAAGACCAGCCUACGCCACAUAGUGGCCUUCUCUACAAAAAAUUUAAAAAAUUAGGCUUGGUGGCAUGCACCUGUAAUCCCAGCUCCUUGGGAGGUUGAAGUGGGAGGAUCGCUUGAGCCCAGGAGUUGAAAGCUGCAGUGAGCUGUGAUCUCACCACUGUGCUCCAGUCUUGGUAACAGAGUGAGACCCAAUCUCAGAAGAAAAAAAAAAGAGAGAGAUAAAUAGAUCCAGCACUAAUGGGAGUAUACUUUUGAGUGCUCUUUAGGACAAAAUUAUAUUUUAAUAUUUUUUUCUUCCUUAAAUUUUUUAUAUUCUAGCAAAGCAUUUCUUCCACAAGGAGAAAUAAAUGUCAUCCAAAGAGCCGUAGGAGCAAGGGCAGACUCAGAAAGUCAGAAGCACUGUAGUCAUUUUGAGCCUUCUAUCUUCGGACUGCUAAGCUGGCAGUGCCAGGCUGGGUCCAUUUUUUCUCCUCUUUAAUUUCUUAAACUGAAAGAGUCCUGCUAGAAUCUGAAGUCAGAUCUGUAGGUCAGCAUUGACGUCAGCAGUUUGCUAUGUUGUGAGGUC